CUCUAGACUAUGUUAUAAAGUUUUUUGAAAUGUGCUUUAUUUUCAUGGAUGGAAUAGAAUUAAAGUCAAAAGCAUCUGGGAAAUAGCUUUCAGCCUGGUGUGUUAAAGCAGUCAGAGACCAAAUGUAACCACAAACCAAAAAAUCUCUAAGAGGCUUUAGUAACUAACACAGGAGGUGGUUUACACUAACCCUUUUACUUUGGAUAGACACUGAUUAAAAGCAGUCAGACCACUCACUGCUAAGGGAAUGAUGGCUCACAUUAAAACCUCUGCAGGUGUCACAGAAUGCAAGUAUGACUUUACAAACCAACAGAGCUUAAAAAAGGUAAUUACUAACAAAUUCAUAAAAGACAGUAAGUGUUAAGGGCAGGGUAUUAGACCCAGGCAGGAACUGUAUGUAUAUACGGUGAGUAACCAGAUAUGUAAGGAGAAGUAAAAAAUAGGUGUCUACUUUUAUUCAGGGUUUGAUGAGUGAAAUUUCAUUUCCUUCUCUACUUAUAGUAAGGGCUACAGAUUAAGAGUUUACAGAUUUCUGUGAAACCAGGUAUACCACUCAAACUCAUUGUGGCUUUAGAAUCAGUCUUCAUUAUUUGGGGCCAAAUCCUUAGGAUAAAUUAUAUAAUUUUACACCUUGAGAAGUAAAAACUGUGGAACUCUCAAAUUUUGAACUCCUGAUACCAGACACAGAAUAUGAAUUUAUGAGUAUUCUAGAAGACUAUUUUAAUAUCUAGGCAGUAAUUUAUGGAUAGAUUUAAAAAUAGUUUCUUUCAGCUCUUAAAUCCUACUUGAUGCUGCUUUUGUGCACAAACCUGUUUGCUUAUUCAUCCCCACUGUCCUGUCCCUUAACAGGUCUGGAGACUGUUACUCUCACCCCCUCCAGUCCCUCCUCAAGAAUUCUGUCUUCCAUGCUGUCUGUGUGACACUAAACAACUGAUAAAGGAUAGACUCAGGCUGCUGAACAGUACUGAUGUGUAUUCAUUUGAAAAGACAUACAAAAAUAACGUUAACAUCUAACAUAUAUACAUGUAAAUGUAAAAAUGUAUCCCAUUCCUUCCAUAUACUGAAAUUCUUUAGAAAAAUAUAGAGCAAGAGCUGACAAGAGCUAUGUAUCACAACUCU
rnacentral:lncRNA from 1 species